UACUGAUCGAACCCUCAGUUCGGGGGUCUUCGUCAACAUGUUAUGAGGCUCCAGUCUUCGGCGGGUCACCAUUACUUGACUUAGAAAGGCGAACAUCUAGGCAAGGGAAAGCGCAGUGCGCCUGGCUGGUGCAAAUGGCUUUAAUUUUUCAUGAUAUACCAAUCAGAAUGGGGGACCCUACCUACGUACAUGAUUGAUAGAAGAACUACUUAGGGGGUCGGUCAACUUGAUGCGGGAGAGGCAUGAGUGCAGUUCGAUCUUGUGGUGUAUUCGUUUGUAGUGAGUAGGGCCUCUUUCUCGUUGAUCAGUUCGCCUCCGCUCUAUUGAAAGGUCUCCAUUCCUACGGCGGUUUUGUCAACGAACGCGUCUCGGGCCGGAUUGACUAACCUAACCCUUAAUUAAGGGGGCCUUGCCGUAGUUGGGUGCUCUGCUUUAGUGUGAUUGACGAAGGCUAGGCUAGUAAUACCCAAAAGAAAUGAAAAGAGAUCGGGGUCGAUAGUUGGCAAGGAACUUGAUCCCCCCAAAACAAAAAAGGGGCUGCUGCGGUCGAACUCUAAUUCUGGAAAUCAAAUAAGUCGGGGCCCUUUUACCUUACCAAGUCUACCGGAUAGAAAUUUUAAGAUCGGGUUCAAAUAGAUACGGGAAAGGCUUUCUCCCUAAGUGGAAUCGGUGGAAUGCCCUGCUUCCGGCUAAGUAUACAGAGUUGGGUCUACCGUUCGUUCAACCGUUACCUCUAUUCUAUUUUAGUGAAGGGAAUGCUCUAGCCUCUCUGCAAACCUGCAUGC
rnacentral:lncRNA from 1 species